AACGAACGUUGGCGGCAGGCCUAACACACGCAAGUCGAGCGCGCCCUUCGGGGUGAGCGGCGGACGGGUGAGUAACGCGUGGGAACGUGCCCUUUUCUACGGAAUAGCCUCGGGAAACUGAGAGUAAUACCGUAUACGCCCUUUGGGGGAAAGAUUUAUCGGAAAAGGAUCGGCCCGCGUUGGAUUAGGUAGUUGGAGGGGUAAUGGCCUACCAAGCCGACGAUCCAUAGCUGGUUUGAGAGGAUGAUCAGCCACACUGGGACUGAGACACGGCCCAGACUCCUACGGGAGGCAGCAGUGGGGAAUCUUAGACAAUGGGGGCAACCCUGAUCUAGCCAUGCCGCGUGAGUGAGGAAGGCCUUAGGGUUGUAAAGCUCUUUCAGCUGGGAAGAUAAUGACGGUACCAGCAGAAGAAGCCCCGGCUAACUCCGUG
rnacentral:rRNA from 1 species